UACGGGGGGGGCAAGCGUUGUUCGGAAUUACUGGGCGUAAAGGGCUCGUAGGCGGCCAACUAAGUCAUACGUGAAAUCCCUCGGCUUAACCGGGGAACUGCGUCUGAUACUGGAUGGCUUGAGUUCGGGAGAGGGAUGCGGAAUUCCAGGUGUAGCGGUGAAAUGCGUAGAUAUCUGGAGGAACACCGGUGGCGAAGGCGGCAUCCUGGACCGGCAUUGACGCUGAGGAGCGAAAGCCAGGGGAGCAAACGGG
rnacentral:rRNA from 1 species